GUUAUGUUAAAAGUAGCAAAUAAUAAAUUCAUAGCAAUAAACAUUUAUAUUUAGAAGAACAGUAAGCAUUAUACUGCUUAAAAGUUUAAUACUGAUAGUGCUUCCAAAUUUCUCCCUCCAUGAGUCCAGGUAUAUAACAGCCUGGGCUUAUCAGUCCAUUCAAAAGUCAGGCAAUAAAGCUUCCUGAAGGGUUUUAUCUAAGCCAAUCAGCAUCAAGUAAACAUUCAUCUGUGUAGGAAAUUCAAAUGUAUGGAGAAGAAUCAUGUAAACAUAUGGCGGUUUCUGAAGCUCAUAUUUUGUGUGGAUAAACCUUUUUCCUUAUCAUUUGAAAGAUGACCAAUAUUGUGUCUGUGACAAAGAUGAGGAUCCUGUGACCAACAAGAUUUGAUGGGAAAGUUGGAAAGCUAAAGAACAUGCUAAAAAUGAUUACGUUCCCAGAUGGUGCAGAAAGAAUGAAGCAGAAUCACCAACAGCAGCAGAACUAAAUGGGGCGAUAACGGAACAUUUAGGUUCCUUCUGUCGAAAACAUAUUAAACACAGAAUAUGAACUCUUAAAACAAUAAGUGAUAGUAAAAAUGUGUAAAAAAUAACAUUUUCAGCUAUGCCUUUUUUAAGAAAAUAUAUUAAACAAUGUUUUACU